UCCAGCCUGGUGCAGUGGUUUGGAUGUUGGACUACAGCUCUGGAGAUCAGGGUUCUAUUCCCCACUGGAG